rnacentral:tRNA from 1 species
GUAGUUCAAUGGUAGAACAUCAGCCUUCCAAGCUGAAUACGUGGGUUCGAUUCCCAUC